GACUUAUUCUCCAGAGUUUUUCAGCGUUUUAAAAUGUAAGUACAUUUUUUUCAUUUGUUACUCUGAUGUAAGCACAAUGUUUUAACAUCCAAGUACAAUGUUGUAAAUUGCAAUAGAGGAUUCAUUCUCUAAAAAAUACUCUGAUGCUUCGUGCCUAUCGGAGAUUGCUAUUGUUUGUGCUACUGACAAUGUGGAAAAUGCAAUUAAAAAACUCUGAAACUAGCUCUUGAAUUGGAAACUAGCAAAUUUCAGUGCUUCCCGCACCAAUACUGUCACUUGGAGUAGUACAAAAGCAGGAAACAUAUCUUGAUGAAUUCUAAGCCCAAGAAGAAAAGAUUAAACAUAAACUCUGACAUGCAAUGCUUGAAUUAUCGAUGUGGAUGCCACAUAGUGGGUUGCUUUUGGAAAAUAUUAGCACCUCCAUUGGGAUAUGUAAUGUUAUCAUGUCAUACGGUGAAUAUGUUUUAGAGGCAAAUAUCUAAGUAAUAAGUUGAAUAAGUAUGCUUACUCAGAAUAGUAUUAAAUUCACCAUGGACAAAAUGGCCCUUCACAUUGCAGGUCAUGGGUACUGUACAAUUUGUAUUUUUUAUGCAAUGACUUAUCAACAAAAUUUCAGUUAGAUACCAGAUAAAGUAGGUGCCUACUUGCAGAAGCAUGUGUUUACUUACAGAAAGUUUACAUUGAUGUCUCAAGAGGGACAUCUAAAAAAGGUUUAAAUAUCCAUGCAAUGGAUGAAUCUACUGCACCAGCUAUGAAAGCAAGGAACAGUGUAUGGCAGAAAGUAUAUAACCAUCUUCAGAAAUAUACACUGCAACAGUUUCAUGGUACAUUUCGUGCGAAUGAUAUUAGGUCGUCCAGAUUGUUGUGUUGUUGUCUAGAUAUGCCUUACACUGAAACUACUUGAGAUAGUUAUGGUUCAAAUGUAGAUGAAUCCUUGGUUGAUACAGAUAAUUUCUGCCCGAACUAGCUCUAGGGUGCACAUAUAGUCUGUGCAUUGGCCUGAGGCCUUUUACAAUGUAUAGAUUGUGUACAAACAUUGUAGUUUGUUUCCAACUAUCACAUCUAAACGAUGAUCUGACCUUUUUACUGUUGGCA